rnacentral:rRNA from 1 species
CAGUCGCCGCGGUAAUACGAAGGGGGCUAGCGUUGCUCGGAAUCACUGGGCGUAAAGGGUGCAUAGGCGGGUUUUUAAGUCAGAGGUGAAAUCCUGGAGCUCAACUCCAGAACUGCCUUUGAUACUGAAAGUCUUGAGUAUGGGAGAGGUGAGUGGAACUGCGAGUGUAGAGGUGAAAUUCGUAGAUAUUCGCAAGAACACCAGUGGCGAAGGCGGCUCACUGGCCCAUAACUGACGCUGAGGCACGAAAGCGUGGGGAGCAAACAGGAUUAGAUACCCCCGUAGUCCCUGUCUCUUAUAC